rnacentral:rRNA from 1 species
CCUAGGGAGGCAGCAGUGGGGAAUAUUGGGCAAUGGGCGCAAGCCUGACCCAGCAACGCCGCGUGAAGGAAGAAGGCUUUCGGGUUGUAAACUUCUUUUCUCAGGGACGAAGACAGUGACGGUACCUGAGGAAUAAGCCACGGCUAAAUACGUGCCAGCAGCCGCGGUAAUUCGUAGGUGGCAAGCGUUAUCCGUAUUUGUUGGGGGUAAAGGGCGUGUAGGCGGGAGCGCAAGUCAGAUGUGAAAACUCAGGGCUCAACCCUGAGCCUGCAUUUGAAACUGUGGUUCUUGAGUGCUGGAGAGGCAAUCGGAAUGCCGGGUGUAGCGGUGAAAUGCGUAGAUAUACGGAGGAACACCAGUGGCGAAGGCGGAUUGCUGGACAGUAACUGACGCUGAGGCGCGAAAGCGUGGGGAGCAAACAGGAUUAGAUACCCUUGUAGUC